UAGAUUAAGUUAUUAAGGGCGCACGGUGGAUGCCUUGGCACUAGAAGCCGAUGAAGGACGUUACUAACGACGAUAUGCUUUGGGGAGCUGUAAGUAAGCUUUGAUCCAGAGAUUUCCGAAUGGGGAAACCCAGCAUGAGUUAUGUCAUGUUAUCGAUAUGUGAAUACAUAGCAUAUCAGAAGGCACACCCGGAGAACUGAAACAUCUUAGUACCCGGAGGAAGAGAAAGAAAAUUCGAUUCCCUUAGUAGCGGCGAGCGAAACGGGAAGAGCCCAAACCAACAAGCUUGCUUGUUGGGGUUGUAGGACACUCUAUACGGAGUUACAAAGGACGACAUUAGACGAAUCAUCUGGAAAGAUGAAUCAAAGAAGGUAAUAAUCCUGUAGUCGAAAAUGUUGUCUCUCUUGAGUGGAUCCUGAGUACGACGGAGCACGUGAAAUUCCGUCGGAAUCUGGGAGGACCAUCUCCUAAGGCUAAAUACUCUCUAGUGACCGAUAGUGAACCAGUACCGUGAGGGAAAGGUGAAAAGCACCCCGGAAGGGGAGUGAAAUAGAACCUGAAACCGUGUGCUUACAAGUAGUCAGAGCCCGUUAAUGGGUGAUGGCGUGCCUUUUGUAGAAUGAACCGGCGAGUUACGAUUUGAUGCAAGGUUAAGCAGUAAAUGUGGAGCCGUAGCGAAAGCGAGUCUGAAUAGGGCGUUUAGUAUUUGGUCGUAGACCCGAAACCAGGUGAUCUACCCUUGGUCAGGUUGAAGUUCAGGUAACACUGAAUGGAGGACCGAACCGACUUACGUUGAAAAGUGAGCGGAUGAACUGAGGGUAGCGGAGAAAUUCCAAUCGAACCUGGAGAUAGCUGGUUCUCUCCGAAAUAGCUUUAGGGCUAGCCUCAAGUGAUGAUUAUUGGAGGUAGAGCACUGUUUGGACGAGGGGCCCCUCUCGGGUUACCGAAUUCAGACAAACUCCGAAUGCCAAUUAAUUUAACUUGGGAGUCAGAACAUGGGUGAUAAGGUCCGUGUUCGAAAGGGAAACAGCCCAGACCACCAGCUAAGGUCCCAAAAUAUAUGUUAAGUGGAAAAGGAUGUGGCGUUGCCCAGACAACUAGGAUGUUGGCUUAGAAGCAGCCAUCAUUUAAAGAGUGCGUAAUAGCUCACUAGUCGAGUGACACUGCGCCGAAAAUGUACCGGGGCUAAACAUAUUACCGAAGCUGUGGAUUGUCCUUUGGACAAUGGUAGGAGAGCGUUCUAAGGGCGUUGAAGCAUGAUCGUAAGGACAUGUGGAGCGCUUAGAAGUGAGAAUGCCGGUGUGAGUAGCGAAAGACGGGUGAGAAUCCCGUCCACCGAUUGACUAAGGUUUCCAGAGGAAGGCUCGUCCGCUCUGGGUUAGUCGGGUCCUAAGCUGAGGCCGACAGGCGUAGGCGAUGGAUAACAGGUUGAUAUUCCUGUACCACCUAUAAUCGUUUUAAUCGAUGGGGGGACGCAGUAGGAUAGGCGAAGCGUGCGAUUGGAUUGCACGUCUAAGCAGUAAGGCUGAGUAUUAGGCAAAUCCGGUACUCGUUAAGGCUGAGCUGUGAUGGGGAGAAGACAUUGUGUCUUCGAGUCGUUGAUUUCACACUGCCGAGAAAAGCCUCUAGAUAGAAAAUAGGUGCCCGUACCGCAAACCGACACAGGUAGUCAAGAUGAGAAUUCUAAGGUGAGCGAGCGAACUCUCGUUAAGGAACUCGGCAAAAUGACCCCGUAACUUCGGGAGAAGGGGUGCUCUUUAGGGUUAACGCCCAGAAGAGCCGCAGUGAAUAGGCCCAAGCGACUGUUUAUCAAAAACACAGGUCUCUGCUAAACCGUAAGGUGAUGUAUAGGGGCUGACGCCUGCCCGGUGCUGGAAGGUUAAGAGGAGUGGUUAGCUUCUGCGAAGCUACGAAUCGAAGCCCCAGUAAACGGCGGCCGUAACUAUAACGGUCCUAAGGUAGCGAAAUUCCUUGUCGGGUAAGUUCCGACCCGCACGAAAGGCGUAACGAUUUGGGCACUGUCUCAACGAGAGACUCGGUGAAAUCAUAGUACCUGUGAAGAUGCAGGUUACCCGCGACAGGACGGAAAGACCCCGUGGAGCUUUACUGUAGCCUGAUAUUGAAAUUCGGCACAGCUUGUACAGGAUAGGUAGGAGCCUUUGAAACGUGAGCGCUAGCUUACGUGGAGGCGCUGGUGGGAUACUACCCUAGCUGUGUUGGCUUUCUAACCCGCACCACUUAUCGUGGUGGGAGACAGUGUCAGGCGGGCAGUUUGACUGGGGCGGUCGCCUCCUAAAAGGUAACGGAGGCGCUCAAAGGUUCCCUCAGAAUGGUUGGAAAUCAUUCAUAGAGUGUAAAGGCAUAAGGGAGCUUGACUGCGAGACCUACAAGUCGAGCAGGGUCGAAAGACGGACUUAGUGAUCCGGUGGUUCCGCAUGGAAGGGCCAUCGCUCAACGGAUAAAAGCUACCCCGGGGAUAACAGGCUUAUCUCCCCCAAGAGUUCACAUCGACGGGGAGGUUUGGCACCUCGAUGUCGGCUCAUCGCAUCCUGGGGCUGUAGUCGGUCCCAAGGGUUGGGCUGUUCGCCCAUUAAAGCGGUACGCGAGCUGGGUUCAGAACGUCGUGAGACAGUUCGGUCCCUAUCCGUCGUGGGCGUAGGAAAUUUGAGAGGAGCU
rnacentral:rRNA from 1 species